ACACCGAUGGUGAAGUGGUUAUCAUGCUUGCCUUCCACUACUUACCUCAGUGAGCAAGCGGCACGGGUUCGAUUCCCGUUCGGUGUA
rnacentral:tRNA from 1 species